rnacentral:tRNA from 1 species
GGAGAGCUGGCCGAGUGGCUGAAGGCGCGCCCCUGCUAAGGGCGUAUGGGUUAAUCCCCAUCGAGGGUUCGAAUCCCUCGCUCUCCGCCA